GACGAACGCUGGCGGCGUGCUUAACACAUGCAAGUCGAACGGAAAGGCCCUGCUUUUGUGGGGUGCUCGAGUGGCGAACGGGUGAGUAACACGUGAGUAACCUGCCCUUGACUUUGGGAUAACUUCAGGAAACUGGGGCUAAUACCGGAUAGGAGCUCCUGCUGCAUGGUGGGGGUUGGAAAGUUUCGGCGGUUGGGGAUGGACUCGCGGCUUAUCAGCUUGUUGGUGGGGUAGUGGCUUACCAAGGCUUUGACGGGUAGCCGGCCUGAGAGGGUGACCGGCCAAAUUGGGACUGAGAUACGGCCCAGAGUCCUAAGGGAGGCAGCAGUGGGGAAUAUUGCACAAUGGGCGGAAGCCUGAUGCAGCAACGCCGCGUGCGGGAUGACGGCCUUCGGGUUGUAAACCGCUUUCGCCUGUGACGAAGCGUGAGUGACGGUAAUGGGUAAAGAAGCACCGGCUAACUACGUG
rnacentral:rRNA from 1 species